UACAAUGAAUACAAAAAAAUCUUGAUAAUUAAUUUAAUAUAUAAGUCCUUAUUAUAGAAAGGUACAUUCUGAAGUCGGUGAACUAUAAAUGUCUGAAAAUUCUAGUAAAUAAUUCUAGAUUGUGUUCAUUUAUCAAAAAAAUAAGUUCAGUCUUGAAAUAUUUUUAGAGUGGGCACCCUUGGUGACCACUUAUUCCUCAAACCUAGUGUGUCGACGACCCAUAGCGAUUGGUCACCGACUCGCAUGGAAUUAACUUUUUAUAUCUUUUCAUUUAAUACUAAAUUUUUGUAAGCGUUUUUUUGCUUGGAUUAAGCUAUAUAUGUAUAUAUAUUUUUUAAAAUCCUUAAAUGCUCGAAGAAUAACAAAAUGUUCAUGAUUUUAGGUUAGAAGAACCACUUAGAGCUACUACAAAGAAUUCAAGUCGUGCUUUGUCCAAAUUUGAACCUCAUUCAACGAGUCAUCCUGUUGAGUCUGUGGAAAAAGAGCCAUCUAUCUCAAAUAGCAAGUCCAGUCCUGUCCAUAAUCUGAAACUGGGCUCUACCUGGCCUGAAGUUGAACUGAAUCCUCCUUACCUUGGCCUGAAAUUGAAUGAAAAAUACAUUGAAUCCUAAUAUUACAUCCUAAUUUGGGUGUAAGUAACGGAAACCACUUGUGUACUGUUGAUGUUCCUGUUAGAUAUGAAAUAUCUUUUUGUGAUACGGAACAGACAUUCUCAUCUGUUGCAUGAAAUAUGUAUAUUUUUCAUCAGAUAUCAUAUAUGUAUCAGCUCAUCAUUUGUGUACAAAAAUGGAAAACAUAUGUAAUCAUAUAAAAAUUUUAAGGCUGUAAAAAGUUUUCAUUGACAAUGUAAUAGUUG